CCCACAUAUAAAGUAGAGGAAGAUGGGCAUGGAUGUUAGCUAAGGGCCAAUCUUCCUUUAAAAAUACACCAAUAAGAGAAUGCAAAUGAAUUUUUAAGGUGGGAAAAAAUAUUUGUAACACAUAACUAAAAAGAUGCUCCUGUACAGAAUAUAUAAACAAUUUUCCUUCAGUUCAACAAUAAACGAUUCAGAUCACUCAAUAAAGAAAAAAAAUGGGCAGGCUCAAGUAGAUGGCGCAGCAUUUAAGUUCCCACUUUCCACCUCGGUGGCCCAGGGUUUGCUGGUUCAGAUCCCGGGUACAGAUAUGGCACCGCUCAUGAGGCCAUGCUGUGGUAGGAGUCCCAUAUGUAAAGUAGAGGAAGAUGGGCACAGAUGUUAGCUCAGGGCCAGUCUUCCUCAGCAUAAAAGAGGAGGAUUGGCAGCAGAUGUUAGCUGAGGGCUGAUCUUCCUCCAAAAAACAAUAAAUAAAUAAAAAAGAAUUUAAAAAAAAAAGAGAAGAUAUCCAAAUGGCCAAUAAAUAUAUGAAAAAUGACCCAAUUUCACUGAAGAUCAAGGCAACGGGAAUUAAAGUCAUAAUGAGAUACAUUACAAAACACCAAGUAGCUAAAAUUAGAAAGACAAUAUUAAAUGUUGCAAGAAUAUGGAGCAAUAGGAACUCUCAUAUACUGAUGGUGAGAAUGUGAAUAUGAGUAGUACAACUACUUUGAAAAAUGGAAUACCAUUUAUUAAUUUGAACAUAUGCUUAUCUUACGGCCCAGCAGUUCCACUCAUAGGCAUAUGAUCAACUCGUACAUAUGCACAAGAACAUAUACAAAAUGUUUAUAGCAGCAUUAUUCACAAUUACUGAAACUAGAAAUUGGUCUGUAAUACAUUGUAAAUUACCCAUACUACACAACAAUGAAUAUAAACGAAAACUAGGUCUAUGCAAUAAUGUGGAUGAAUUUUAAUAACAUUAUUUUCGAGUGAAUAAAUCAACAUUUAGUAUUACAUACUCCACGAUUCCAUUCACACAAAGCUCACAAAAGCCAACACUAAUCUGUGGUGUUAGAGGUCAGGAUAGCAGUCACUUUUGGUGAUGAAGAAGAAAGGCCUGAGUGAGAGGGCAGAGGAAGGAUUUAGUGGUGCUGGGAAUAGUCUAAUGUUCUGUGUCUAAACUUUUGUGGUGGUCCCAGGGGUGUUUGCUUUGGGAGAAUUCACUGAGCUAGACACUUAUGAUUUGCACAUGUUUCUGUAUGUGUUAUAUUUCAAUAAAAAUGUUAUAAGAACAACUUUGUACUGUCUUACUCUCUUGAUGGACUACAUUAUCUCCCUCCUUAGCUUCAUCGCUAAAUGUCUGGAAAGAAUAGUCUAUCCUUGACUUCUCUAUCUUUCUCUCUUUCUCUCUCUCUUUCUGUCUCUCUUUUAAUCCCACUCAUUCUCAGCCCAUUACAAUCUGGCUUCUGCCCUACCACUCUAAAAGUGCUUUCACCAAAGUCACUAAUGACCUCCUAAUUAUCAAUUGUGUAUUUUCAGUCCUGUCCUGCUUGACCUCUCCACGCCGUACAACACUGCUGACCAGCUCUCAUUUGUAAUUCUCUCUUCUCUUGACCUCUUCCUCAUUCUUCUCUUUCCUUGUGGACUGUUUCAAUUGUGUCCCUCCCCUUGCUUGGUCCUCAAAUACAUAUUUUCUAGUUGUACUUGUUCAGGUUGCUCUAAAAUCAGAAUUACAAACUGGCUGUAGAUAUGUUUUUUGUAGUUCUAAGUGCUUUCAGCAAAUUGUAAAUUAUUUGCCAUUGCAUAAAAAUCAGUAUAUUUCACAUAAAAACCAAGAUUUCUAACAUUAGAAAAUUAAAAUUUUGGUAACCCUGGAUUCACCUUAUUGAGGGGGCAAGAAUCUUCUGGAUGCAAAUAGUAGGACAAGACCUACACUUACCUCCUCUUUCUUUGUUUAUUUCCACUGAGGAAGAUUAGCCCUGUGCUAACAUCUGUUGCCAAUCUUCCUCUACUUUAUAUGUGGGUCUCUGCCACAGCAUGGCCGACAAGUUGUGUAGGUCUGCAUCCAGGACCCGAACCUGUGAACCGGGGCUGCUGAAGUGGAGUGCACCAAAUUCAACCACUGCACCAUGGGAUGGCCCCUUACCUCUACUUUUUACAGCAUGCUUGGACUCCCUAGGACACUUAAAUUUCUCACCACUGUUAUACAAGUCUUUCUAGAGCAAAGCUUCUCAAACGGUACCAAGGAAUCACCCGAGAAAAUUCUUCAAAUGCUUCUGACCCACCUCCAGGAAACCAAUAUGAUGGGAAUUGCAUGGGGUCCAGGAAAUGAUAAUUAAAAAAAUUCCAAGUUACUCUGAUGCGAGUUGUCCAUGGAAGACACUAUUUUGGGGGAUUUCUUUAAACUUUUAUGUCUUGAACUCCUUCAACUUCAGUUCUUGGUCUUAAGUACCUCACUGUCCACCAAAGAGACAGGUGUACAAACAAGCAAUCAUAAUAUGUGUGAUCCUCCCUCCUGGGCAAGCGGAGGCCUGAGGUUCCCAUCGCUGUGAAAGUCUACAGGCUAAGUGAGGUGUUUUGGAUGUUAGGUCAAAGGACUAUCUUGCUAAACAGGAAAGCCAUUCAACAGUUAAUCAAAAGAAUUAGGCAGAGAGAGAGGUACCAAGCCAAAGGGAUAAAGAUAGAGAAACCAGAGUAUAGUGUGGGAGAGGAGCAAGGGGAGAGGGGAUUAUUGCAGCUCUCUGAGGUACAUGAAGGUAAUUGCCUUUGAAAUACAGCUUUUGGCAUUAGCAGAGAGGGAGGAGAUAAAGCAUUGUCUCACAGUGGAUCAUAGCAUGACAAAUGUUAUACUAGAGUAACAUAUUGUGUCUGUAAAAUGAGGUUCAAUCAACUCCAGAGUCUGAAAUUAGUCUUGGUUCAUUCAGUGAACCAAUUAGGUCAGUAAAAUUUGUUUUGGCAUCAAUCUGUAACUCUGCUGCCCAGCAGCAGUGUCGGUAUACAGUGUACGGUGCUUUUCACCUGUAGCUGUGGAGCUGGAUGGCUGUUUUGAUCUUGUUGGGAAGAUCAGGGAACUGAUCAGAACCCUGGGAACUUGGUGGGUCAUUAAGGUAGAAAGAAAGGAGGGUAAAAGGAUUGAGAGUAAUGGUGAGAGAUUUUAGAGAUAGACCACACUUCACUGCUUAAUAGUGAAGCAAGAAGAAACUGAUUGACUACGAAGGAAGGGGUCAAGGAAGUGGAGGCCUUGGUGACAUUAGAAAACAGGUGGGUAGGGAUGAGAGAAAAGGAGAGCUUGAUGAAGUGAACUUAUGGUGAAAGAGGGAGAUGUCGGAGAUUAAGAUCUCAGAAACCAAUGCAUCUAGGGUAACAAUAAUAUUUCAGUAG
rnacentral:lncRNA from 1 species